rnacentral:SRP_RNA from 1 species
CCUGCAACCCGCUAUAGCAGGGUCGAAUUCCUGAGCCGAGGGUAUAUUCUGUGAGGUCUGACUGCAACAAGUGACGUCGAAAUCUGGGUCCUUCGCAAUGAGACAUCUUGAACUGUGUCAGGUCCGGAAGGAAGCAGCACUAAGGGAUUCAUCUUAUGUGACGAAGGGAAGCCUGGGUGGAGUUAACUACUGUAGUAACGCUUGGAGAGUAUAUUCGAGGCCAGGUGCACGG